CCACGCACGCUGCGGUUUGGGCGCUCCUGCGUCCGCUUGCCGCCGUUCGACGCCGCCGGAGUUCCACGUCGACGACGCGCAGGUACACGGUUAUCGCGCUCGCACUCUCCUCCCCUGUACUUGUGACGAGGCCUUGGAUGCACGCAAGGGCUCGGCUCGAAGAUGGGACGCUUCCGUUGUUUCGUCUCCGAUUCGCAGGACUGCGGCUAUGGAGAUGGAAUCGCCCUCAGAAUCCAGCAACUCUACUUUGCGAUUACUGCUACAAUCCAGGAACUAAACAAGGCCCCUUAAUGGUCUGGGCGAACUUGGGGUGCUACGUCAGUCGUUUUCUGUACAACACUACAACAGUAUUGAAGCUCAUGCUGUCCACUUACCAAUUUGUGGAGCUGGAUUCUCGUCAGCUUAUUUUCGAUUGCUCAAUCAGCAAAUUUGAUGAUGAGAUGCUGCGUAGGCUAAUUUAAAACCUAUUUUGCACUAUAAUUCAUAUACUGUAUAUGGUUUAUAACAGAUG